UUGAACGCUGGCGGCAGGCCUAACACAUGCAAGUCGAGCGGCAGCGCGGGGCAACCUGGCGGCGAGCGGCGGACGGGUGAGUAACGCGUAGGAAUCUACCCAGUAGCGGGGGAUAGCCCGGGGAAACUCGGAUUAAUACCGCAUACGCCCUAAGGGGGAAAGCAGGGGAUCGUAAGACCUUGCACUAUUGGAAGAGCCUGCGUUGGAUUAGCUAGUUGGUAGGGUAAAGGCCUACCAAGGCGACGAUCCAUAACUGGUCUGAGAGGAUGAUCAGUCAAUCCGGAACUGCGACACGGUCCGGACUCCUACGGGAGGGAGCAGUGGCGAAUAUUGGCCGAUGGGGGCAACGCUGAUCCAGCCAUGCCGCGUGUGUGAAGAAGGCAGACGGGUUGUAAAGCACUUUAAGUGGGGAGAAAGGUUCGGCAGCUAAUCCCUGCCGGAAGUGAUGUUACCCACAGAAUAAGCACCGGCUAACUCUGGGCCAGCCGCCGCCAGUAACAC
rnacentral:rRNA from 1 species